UAUUUUGACUCAAUUGUUGAUGCUACCUCACAUUGCAGGUAACAGCUAAUUAGCUCAAUUAAUCAAAUUAGAAGAAUGACAGGAGACAAGAAUAUACAAAAAUAUUGAACAUCAACUAAAGUGCAGAACACAAAACAUAGCAGGCACUACUAGGCAAAACAGAGCAUCGCAUCGAGAAGACAGAACGACUGGUUGGAAGCAAACUUGAAAA